CACUAGCCAAAUUCCAAUUAAACAGGGCAGAGAUGGAUAGGGAAGGGAGUGUGAUGUGACGAGGCCGCAGAGAGCUCAGCCCCCAGGAUGGACGGGAAACCCUGGGUCACCGUUCUUGGAGGGGGACAUCAGUGCCUGGCACAUAGUAGAUGCCCAAAGAACAUCUGCUGACUGACCUCACCUAAAGCAUUUGGGCAGUUACCCACAGGUGCUCCAUGACACCUUCUGGCCAGCAUAAAGGGCCUGCAGCCAAGUGCCCUGGUGGCUGCUGCUACUGAACACCAACCCCUACUCCCAGCCUUGGGGGUGUCAGGAAAGAAUGGGACCGCAGUGAUUGAAACUUAUUUGGGGCAGGAAGCUUGGCCUGGAUGACCUGAGGGGCAGUCAUGUCCUCUGGCCCACCCAGUCUUCACUUCUCACCUCCUCACCCCCCGCCCUCUGGAGGGCAGCUCCCAUCUCUCCUGGGUUAGCCUCAGAGUUCGGCGAGGGGAGGCACCGUUUGGGGCUACAGUCCUGGGCCCGGCGUUGCUUGCCAGUGAGAUGUCUGAUGCCAGGGGGGUGCCAAGGAGCAGCAAGCCUGGGGACUUGGGGAGAAACUCUAAACAGAGUCUCCUGGGCUUUGGGGGCAAGGGAUGCUGCAGACCCUGAGUGGCCCCCCCUCCUUGGUAUUCAGGACAGAGGCUUCUGAGUUGCUCUGAGGGUACAUCGAAGCUCAGAUUCUCCAGGGGUAAGAGAUUCUUUCAGCCAUUGCUGCAGGAACCCCAACUCAGUCAGUCCCACCAAAGAAGCAAAGAGGCAGGAGCGGCAGCCUCUGGGUGGGCCCCUUUUGAGGGGCAGCCAGGGCCUGCCUGGGGGUUGUGUUAGAGCCUGGAUGGCACUCAUGAGCCACCUGUGGGGUGGUGGCCCCUGGACUUCCAACUGCAGAAUGUGCCUCUGUAUCCCAAUGCCAAAAGCGGGGUGCCUCACCCUGCCACAUGCUGUGGCUCGCCCUCCCAGGGCCAUGACAUGCCACAGAGCCACUGCACCAUGGCACGAAGCAGCAACAGGUGACACAGGAGGCUGCCAGGUCACCCCACCUGCAGGAUCCCUGUGAUGUACCUCCUUCCACGAGUCACCACACCCAUCCCCAAGCAGCCCCACAUCCAUCCCCCAUGACGGUGCAGGCAGGUGGGGAGCACAGCCCAGCCCACCGCAGGGUGAACUGAUGCAGGCAGAGGGGAAUGCUCCACAUCCCCGCUGUCCCCUGCCCUGCCCUGCCCUGCCCACGGUCCCUCUGCAUCCUGACCCUCUGCAGUAUGCUCCCUCUCCCUGUCCCCUCUCUCCCCAUCGCCAACUUAAUUCCUUAAUUCCUACUGGAGAUAAGCGGAUCUUUCACUGAAAUUUAUCAUUAAUCCUAAGGAAAACAGGGGUGGGAAGGGGGUGGGGGUGGGAAAGGGAUAGAGGGAGGUGGGGAAGCUUGGAGGGCCCACCCACACUGCCUCCUCCUAGAUCUGGGACAGCUGUGGUGGCUGGGAAUCCUAGGCUGACAUCCCUGGGCAUGGCAGCCCACAUAUGGAGCUGUUACUGGGGAUCCGAGGGGAGCACCUGAGAUGGUGAGGUGUGUGAGACUCAGGAGAGGUGAGACGGGGGCCGAGGCUGUCUGUAAAUGCCUGCAGGAUCACAUGAGCUCCAUGCGAUUCCAACACUAAUGGGAGGGAGCUUCAGGGGGAAGGGGGAGCUGGGGGCAGUCAGGGCUGUCCUGGCUUCCAUGGAGGGUGGUGAGUACCCUGUCAGUGGAGGGAUUCAGCUGCAGCUGGAGGAUGACCAACAGGCCAGAAUGUGGUUAGGGGUUUUAGGAAGUGAAUGGGGUGCUACAGCAUUUGAUUUCCCUUCCAAUGCUAAGACUCCAGGAUUCUCUGACAUCCUCUCCACCUUCCCCUGCAGGGCAGGGAGGUACCUUCAGCUGCAGGCCCAGCUGGGAGGCUCUUUCCAGACCUGGGUCUGGAAGAGGAGCAAGUGGGCUCAGGUUAGUUUUUUAUUUUUAUUUUUUUUAAGAUGGAGUUUCACUCUUGUUGCCCAGGCUGGGGUGCAAUGGUGUGAUCUCUGCUCAGUGCAACCUCCGCCUCCUGGGUUCAAGUGAUUCUCCUGCCUCAGCCUCCUGAGUAGCUGGGAUUACAGGUGCCCACAACCAUGCCUGGCUAAUUUUUGUAUUUUUAGUAGAGACAGGGUUUCACCAUGUUGGCCAGGCUGGUCUCGAACUCCUGACCUCAGGUUAUCUACCCGCCUCGGCCUCCCAAAGUGCUAGGACUAUAGGUAUGAGCCACUGUGCCCAGUGGGCUCAGGUGUUUAACACAUCUUUGCAGAAUGAAGGAGAAUGCAGGCCCCUGCCUAGUGUCACUGUCCCUUCAUGUCCAAACAGGAUGGCUUAAAGAGACUGAGGCCUGACCCACAAGGCCCUAGCUCCAUCUCUCCACCAUCCACCCAGGCCUCAACCCGACUAGCAUUCCUGCUUGAAAGAGCUGACACCCUCAGGGAUCACCUGCUGUGUGUGAGGUCAGAAGUCAGAGCGUGGAUGCCAUGCAGUGCUGGACUGGAUAUUAUGUUUGUUGCUGUCUACAGCUCCCACCUCUGUGCCUGGCACAUGUCGAGUGAAUGCCGGGAUGAACCUGUCUGCCUCUCCCACAACACAUCCAGGGCAGUGGGAUUCCUACAGGGACUGGCACUGGGCGCUUGGGGCAGCCAGAAUUCUGCACCUUGAGUGAAACCCUUGCUUUCCUUUCAGAAGGGAGCACAGGAGGCACCUGCCCAGGUGAUCGUCUGGGUUGGGGGGGCGGAUCUCCAGUAGCCCAGGGGCCUGAGACUAAGACAUACCCUGCUUGCAUUGACCACCCUGGAGAAGUCACAGGAGCCCAGCAGAGGGGCUCCCCACAGCGUUCUGGGGCACACACAGCCAGGAGGGUUCCUGGGCCUGGCUUCCCCAGCCCCAGGGAACGGACCCUCCUUCUCCAGACUGGGAGUCCCUCCCAGUGGUAGCUCACAACAGUCCAGCGGUGCGAAGGCUUUCUCUGGAUCAAGCAAAUUAUUGCUUGUGCUAAGCACACCACAUAUGUUAUUCGCCCCUUCCAGCCUCUUAUCAUCUCAUCCCAUUGUACAGCUAGGGGAACUUGUUUAGAGAAGACACAGAUACACCCGCUGACACAGGUAAGUCAUAAAAGACUGAGAUCAUUUGACUCCAAAAUAACCACUGGGUUCAGUCAAUUUCUUGGGGAAAAAUAGUCAAACUAGUUGUUUGUGACCCUGUAGACAAAACAAUGAUCUAAGACUGACCUUCGCCGGUUCUCUAACUGGCGGCUGGGGGGCAGUGUAGACCUUGCCCGGACAGUCAUCAUCUUUGAUUGGCUCCCCCUCCUUCUCCACCCACCCUUAGUAGCCAGGCUGUGCCCCCAACCCCAGGAGGGGGGUGAGAGCCCCCUACCUGUGUGUGGGAGAAGAUGGCGAUCAGAGUCUAAUCAGAAGCAGGCGCGUGCACACGCGCGCGCACGCACGCACGCACACACACACAGCACGUGACCUCAUACACGCACACACACCAUAAACCUUCCUCAUACACACACAGAGGACAUAAAAACACUUGUAAAGAAACACAUAAACCAGCACAGAUUAUCAUUACAGCGCAAACUGUGUACACAAGUGCCGAGGGGCUAGCAGUAAUAGAGUGAUGGGAGAUGAGAGAGGGUAACGGGGAUAUUUCCUGGGAAGGGUGUUUGUGAGCAGAGCUUGGGGAGGAGGCCAGAAAGACUCUGCAGCAGCACUGAGAGGUGGGCGCCGAGGACUGAUGCUCUCUCCCUCUUCCAUCAUCACCGCCCCUUCAGGACUGGCCACGAGGCCCAUCAUCUGACCCCUGGGAGGGUGGGGAACGGUGCUGUGGUCAGGGCAGAGGCAGGCCGGGAGCAGGGGGCUGUCGCACACGUUCCCCCAAAGGCCUAUCCAUCACGCCAGUGGAGACCAUCAGAGUGCUCUGCCGGCCCAGGACACUGAUGACUCUCCAGGCAUCAUAAAGACAGGGAAUAAAUCUGGGAAGUUGCUGGGCAGGAGGGUGCCUCAACGGCAGGGCUGGCCACCCUGCCCGGGAAGGGAGAGGCAGCCCCUCCAUCAUUCUGAGAGAUGCAGCAAUCUAGGCCAAUGAGAUCAGGACAGUUCAGGGGGUGGGGGAGGUGGGCAAUCAUGAUAAAAUAAUCCAGUGCAGUGUGGCUGCUCCGCUCCAGUGUUAUUUACAGUGUUAUUUACACUCAGGGAGAUGCCUGUCCCUGCCUCCGCUCCAAUUUAUGCCUAGGAGUUGCUGCAGAAAGCCUCUGCCACUGAUUCAAAACCCUCAAAGGGGCCCGGUCCCAGAGGGCAGAGGAGAGGGACAUAAAAGUGGCUAAGCUUGGGAGCCCGGCAGGCACCUGCAGGCCCUGGGGUAGGGGGGCUCUGGGCAAUGCUGGUCCCCUCGUGCUGGCUGGGCAAUGCUCCGGCUUGGAUGGGAGUCAGGCAGAUCCUAUGCCCUCCUUCCUCCUGUUGCUUCCAAGCACUUCCUAGGUGCAGGGCAGAUCCAGCCCCAGGAGCUGAUCACAUAGCUCUGGCUUGUGUCUGGGCCACAGAGGCCGCGCGGUAAUUCAAGCUAACGGAGCAUGGAUAAUCUAGAACAGCGGAGGGUCUAGGAGGAAUUUCGCUUUGGCGUCGACACAGAUCAGAUGACUGUUUUGCAGCCGAAUUACCUCCCUAAUUAAGCAAGAGAAUCUGUGAGGCCUGAGCCUGCAUGGUGACCUGCAGGGUCAGGGUGUGCUGGGAGGAGCAUCACCCUGGGUGACCCUCGAGAGGACAAUCUGCACAGGGACUGUCUGAAGUCAACUCCCAGUCCUCAGCCACAACCCUGGGGAAGGGCUUUGAUUUUUCUGCCCCCGUGAUCUUCUUCCCUGGGAUAGUUCUCUGCCCUCGCCUAUGAAGCUGAGGACGCCUGGACCCAGGAUCAAUGCCUCUCUCCCCAGCUUGCUGUCCUGAUCCUGCCUGGGGCAGAGGAAGCACCAGCCCUUUCAUCCCAGGAGAUCAAAGCAGCCAGCACAGGAGAACACCCUAAAUCCUUUUCCCCAUCCACACUCCCUGGUAGGGGCCCUCCCUUGCCAUCUUUUGGGAUCUCUGGGUGAGGGCAAGAGGGCCUGAAACCUUCCAGAAGUUUAGGACAGGCUCUGGCACAGGAUCAGCUUGCUAAGCCCUGGAUCCACCCAGGAUCUGGGGCUGGCCUGGGAACACGCACUGGGGUACCAGGCAGAUUCUCUCCGAGGAGAUACUAUACCUGCCUCUGGUCUCACCGUGAGACAUGGUGUGUGUGAGGGGGCCCAAAUGGUAUCAGUGAUGCCCAAAGACUCAGGAGGUGCAACAGUGAUAACAUCAAGACAUUCCACUCUGGCACAGCCACACGAAUACUCCCAAGACACAACAGUGUCUGUGGCAGGAUAUACCAGUAAUACAGGUUGAAUAUCCCUUAUCCCUAAUGCUUGAGACCCAAAGUGUUUCAGACUUCAAAUUUGUUCAGAUUUUGUAAUAUUUGUAUACAUGAAAUGUUAUCUUGGGGAUGGGACCCAAGUCUAAACAUGAAAUUUCAUUUCUAUUUCAUAUACACCUUAUACACAUAGCCUGAAGGUAAUUUUAUACAGUGGCUUUAAUAAUUUUGUGCAUGAAAUAAUGUUUUGACUGCCUUUGGAUUGCGACCCUUCAGGAGGAUAAGUGUGGAAUUUUCCACUUGUGGCGUCAUGUCGGCGCUCCAAAAGCUUCGGAUUUUGGAUUAGGGAUGUUCAACCUGCGCCAAGACUGUCUGAAGAUUCAGCACUAAUAACUCCCCAAAUGCAUCAGGCAUGGACAACUACAACACCAGGUUAUCGCUGCACCAUUGAAGGGACAGGAAUGUGAAUAAGAAGGUGCUAUGCAGGGGUGGGAAGAGAUUCUGGAAGCAAAGUCUUGUGAGGACUCCAGGCUUAGGAAAUGGUCUUCCUCCAUCACCUGUCUGCCACCUGCCAGGAAGAGAGGCAGCUCAGCCACAUGGUAUAAACAUGGACAUGAGGCCUGACUUCUGGAAUCAGAAUCCUGGCUCUGCCACUUACUAGCUGCGUGACCCUGGGCAAGUUACCUAAGCUCUAUCUGGGCCUCAUUUUUCCAUAUAUAAAACUGGGGAGAACAGAAGUACCUUCCAUAUGAGUUGUUAUGAAGAUUAACUAAGUGAUUACAUGUAAGAUGUUUACAACAGUGCCUGGCAUCCAGGGAUUCUCAAUACAAGUGUGUUAUUAUUAUCCUCAUCAAUGGUUCAAACAAGCAACUGUCUAUCCACCCAGCAUGGCCUACUGGUCCCCUAUGCCAGGCCCUGGAGAAACCAAGCCUCAUCAGCAAUGGAGCUCUCAGUCUUAUGAGGAAGAUAAAUCCCAGGCCCAAGUGACUGGAUAGCAGGAUGGAGAGUAAUUGGUGGCAGGGGGUGGCAUGGAUGAGGCGCUGGGGGAUUUGAGAUGAGAGAAGUUAUCCUUAGCUUGUGGGGGGCGGGUCAUGAAAGCUUCACAAUAGAAGUGGCUCUUGA